AAGGAUUAUGGAAGAAGACGGCAAAACGGCGUAUGAGGAAUACAAACUUCGUCGUCAUUGGGAGGAAAAGUAUCAUAAACUGAAGACUACUCUAAGGGAUAAGUUUUGUGACAUUCGUCGAGGUCUUAUGCAGAUAUAUGAUUUAUCAACUAUUACCGAUUGCAUUAGCGACACUGAAAAUGAGGUUGGGCAAGCAGCAGGACCUGAACAGCAUUAAAAUAGACUCUAGUUACAUACAUCCUAUUGAACAAGACAAUACUAAGGUGAGCCCCAUUGACCAUAAACCUAUCGAGAGAUGAAGCUGCACCUAGUUAAAAGUUAGUUCUGAUGGCUGUGUAAUAAAGUUGGAAGUAUUUCUUGCCCAUUAACAUGCAAUGCAUAGGCAUAUAUGGACACAUGUUACUAUUUAUGUUACAAAAGCAAUAUAUG
rnacentral:lncRNA from 1 species